rnacentral:rRNA from 1 species
GAUCCCCUUGAAGGGUCGUUCGAGACCAGGACGUUGAUAGGUCAGGUGUGUAAGCGCAGUAAUGCGUUCAGCUAACUGAUACUAAUUGCCCGUAAGGCUUGAUCCU